GACAGAGGGUGCUAGCGUUGUUCGGAAUUACUGGGCGUAAAGGGCGCGUAGGCGGCCUGGUCAGUCGGAUGUGAAAGCCCGGGGCUCAACCCCGGAACGGCAUACGAUACGGCCCGGCUGGAGUCCGGAAGAGGAAGGUGGAAUACCCAGUGUAGAGGUGAAAUUCGUAGAUAUUGGGUGGAACACCAGUGGCGAAGGCGGCCUUCUGGUCCGGAACUGACGCUGAGGCGCGAAAGCGUGGGGAGCAAACAGG
rnacentral:rRNA from 1 species